rnacentral:rRNA from 1 species
AACGAACGUUAGCGGCGCGCCUAACACAUGCAAGUCGAGCGAGAAAGGGCUUCGGCCCCGGUAAAGCGGCGCACGGGUGAGUAACACGUGGAUAACCUACCCCCUUGGUGGUGGAUAACCUUCCGAAAGGAGGGCUAAUACAGCGUAAGACCACGACUUCGAAAGAGGUUGAGGUAAAAGUGGGCCUCUGUACACAAGCUCACGCCAGGGGAUGGGUCCGCGGCCCAUCAGCUAGUUGGUAGGGUAACGGCCUACCAAGGCGAAGACGGGUAGCUGGUCUGAGAGGAUGAUCAGCCACACUGGAACUGAGACACGGUCCAGACUCCUACGGGAGGCAGCAGUGGGGAAUCUUGCGCAAUGGACGAAAGUCUGACGCAGCGACGCCGCGUGAGUGAUGAAGGCCU